rnacentral:tRNA from 1 species
GGAGGAAUACCCAAGUCCGGCUGAAGGGAUCGGUCUUGAAAACCGACAGGCCUCAACGGCCGCGGGGGUUCGAAUCCCUCUUCCUCCGCCA